rnacentral:other from 1 species
GUUUCAAUCCCUCAUAGGUACGAGUUAAAAAC